AUUGAACGCUGGCGGCAUGCCUUACACAUGCAAGUCGAACGGCAGCGCGGGGCAACCUGGCGGCGAGUGGCGAACGGGUGAGUAACAUAUCGGAACAUACCCUAGAGUGGGGGAUAACGUAGCGAAAGUUACGCUAAUACCGCAUACGCACUAAGGUGGAAAGUGGGGGAUUCGCAAGAACCUCAUGCUCAUGGAGUGGCCGAUAUCUGAUUAGCUAGUUGGUGAGGUAAAGGCUCACCAAGGCGACGAUCAGUAGCUGGUUUGAGAGAACGACCAGCCACACUGGAACUGAGACACGGUCCAGACUCCUACGGGAGGCAGCAGUGGGAAUUUUGGACAAUGGGGGCAACCCUGAUCCAGCAAUGCCGCGUGAGUGAAGAAGGCCUCGG
rnacentral:rRNA from 1 species